rnacentral:rRNA from 1 species
AUUGAACGCUGGCGGCAGGCCUAACACAUGCAAGUCGAGCGGAUGAAGGGAGCUUGCUCCUGGAUUCAGCGGCAGACGGGUGAGUAAUGCCUAGGAAUCUGCCUGGUAGUGGGGGAUAACGUCCGGAAACGGGCGCUAAUACCGCAUACGUCCUGAGGGAGAAAGUGGGGGAUCUUCGGACCUCACGCUAUCAGAUGAGCCUAGGUCGGAUUAGCUAGUUGGUGGGGUAAAGGCCUACCAAGGCGACGAUCCGUAACUGGUCUGAGAGGAUGAUCAGUCACACUGGAACUGAGACACGGUCCAGACUCCUACGGGAGGCAGCAGUGGGGAAUAUUGGACAAUGGGCGAAAGCCUGAUCCAGCCAUGCCGCGUGUGUGAAGAAGGUCUUCGGAUUGUAAAGCACUUUAAGUUGGGAGGAAGGGCAGUAAGUUAAUACCUUGCUGUUUUGACGUUACCAACAGAAUAAGCACCGGCUAACUUCGUG